rnacentral:rRNA from 1 species
AACGAACGCUGGCGGCAGGCUUAACACAUGCAAGUCGAACGGGUGUAGCAAUACAUCAGUGGCAGACGGGUGAGUAACACGUGGGAACCUUCCUAGAGGUACGGAACAACUCAGGGAAACUUGAGCUAAUACCGUAUACGCUCUUGCGAGGAAAGAUUUAUCGCCUUUAGACGGGCCCGCGUCGGAUUAGCUAGUUGGUGGGGUAACGGCCUACCAAGGCGACGAUCCGUAGCUGGUCUGAGAGGAUGAUCAGCCACACUGGAACUGAGACACGGUCCAGACUCCUACGGGAGGCAGCAGUAGGGAAUAUUGGACAAUGGGCGCAAGCCUGAUCCAGCCAUGCCGCGUGAGUGAAGAAGGCCCUCGGGUUGUAAAGGCUCUUUUGUCCGGAAAGAAAAGACGCCGGGUUAAUACCCUGGUGUCCUGACGGUACCGGAAGAAUAAGCACCGGCUAACUUCGUGCCAGCAGCCGCG